rnacentral:rRNA from 1 species
GAGUUUGAUCCUGGCUCAGAGUGAACGCUGGCGGCAGGCCUAAUACAUGCAAGUCGAACGGCAGCGCAGCAGAGCUUGCUCUGUGGGUGGCGAGUGGCGGACGGGUGAGGAAUACAUGGGAAUCUGCCCAGUCGUGGGGGAUAACGUAGGGAAACUUACGCUAAUACCGCAUGCGCCCUUCGGGGGAAAGCCGGGGACCUUCGGGCCUGGCGCGAUUGGAUGAGCCCAUGUCGGAUUAGCUAGUUGGCGGGGUAACGGCCCACCAAGGCGACGAUCCGUAGCUGGUCUGAGAGGAUGAUCAGCCACACUGGAACUGAGACACGGUCCAGACUCCUACGGGAGGCAGCAGUAGGGAAUAUUGGACAAUGGGCGCAAGCCUGAUCCAGCCAUGCCGCGUGAGUGAAGAAGGCCUUCGGGUUGUAAAGCUCUUUUGUCCGGAAAGAAAAGCUUCGGGUUAAUACCCUGGAGUCCUGACGGUACCGGAAGAAUAAGCACCGGCUAACUUCGUGCCAGCAGCCGCGGUAAUACGAAGGGUGCAAGCGUUACUCGGAAUUACUGGGCGUAAAGCGUGCGCAGGCGGUUGUGUAAGCCAGUCGUGAAAUCCCCGGGCUUAACCUGGGAAUGGCGAUUGGGACUGCACGGCUGGAGUAUGGCAGAGGGGACUGGAAUUCCUGGUGUAGCAGUGAAAUGCGUAGAUAUCAGGAGGAAUACCGAUGGCGAAGGCAGGUCCCUGGGCUGAUACUGACGCUCAUGCACGAAAGCGUGGGGAGCAAACAGGAUUAGAUACCCUGGUAGUCCACGCCCUAAACGAUGUCGACUGGUUGUUGGGGGUUUGACACCUUCAGUAACGAAGCUAACGCGUGAAGUCGACCGCCUGGGGAGUACGGCCGCAAGGUUAAAACUCAAAGGAAUUGACGGGGACCCGCACAAGCGGUGGA